UGGGGAAUAUUGCGCAAUAGGCGAAAGCCUGACGCAGCGACGCCGCGUGAGGGAUGAAGGUUUUCGGAUCGUAAACCUCUGUCAGAAGGGAAGAAACCGCACUGUGCUAAUCAGCAGUGCCUUGACGGUACCUUCAAAGGAAGCACCGGCUAACUCCGUGCCAGCAGCCGCGGUAAUACGGAGGGUGCAAGCGUUAAUCGGAAUUACUGGGCGUAAAGCGCACGUAGGCUGCUUUGUAAGUCAGCGGUGAAAUCCCACGGCUCAACCGUGGAACUGCCUUUGACACUGCUUAGCUUGAAUCCGGGAGAGGGUGGCGGAAUUCCAGGUGUAGGAGUGAAAUCCGUAGAUAUCUGGAGGAACAUCAGUGGCGAAGGCGGCCACCUGGACCGGUAUUGACGCCGAGGUGCGAAAGCGUGGGGAGCAAACAGG
rnacentral:rRNA from 1 species